rnacentral:rRNA from 1 species
ACGCUGGCGGCGUGCUAUACAUGCAAGUAGACGCUGAAGGAAGGAGCUUGCUCUUUCCGGAUGAGUUGCGAACGGGUGAGUACGCGUAGGUAACCUGCCUGGUAGCGGGGGAUAACUAUUGGAAACGAUAGCUAAUACCGCAUAACAGUAGAUAUUGCAUGAUAUCUGCUUGAAAGGGGCAAUUGCUCCACUACCAGAUGGACCUGCGUUGUAUUAGCUAGUUGGUGAGGUAACGGCUCACCAAGGCGACGAUACAUAGCCGACCUGAGAGGGUGAUCGGCCACACUGGGACUGAGACACGGCCCAGACUCCUACGGGAGGCAGCAGUAGGGAAUCUUCGGCAAUGGACGGAAGUCUGACCGAGCAACGCCGCGUGAGUGAAGAAGGUUUUCGGAUCGUAAAGCUCUGUUGUAAGAGAAGAACGAGUGUGAGAGUGGAAAGUUCACACUGCGACGGUAUCUU